GUAGUUAAGUGAAUAAGCUUUUGUUUAUUUGUGGAUGGGGUUAUUCUCCAUUUUCUUCUAUUACUUUUCGCUCUCUAGUUAGGAUUUAGCUUGAUUAGCAAAGGGUUUUUGGCAGAUAAUUUAUGAAAACUUAGAUACAUUGCAGCGGUUAUACAAAGGAUUUUAAAAUCUGAGCACUUAGGUGAAGGGACAAGCAGGUUAACAUGUUUAAAAAGAAAGAAGGAAAAAGUACUCUAUGAUAUGGUUACUAAAAUUUUAAUCCUGAUAUAAUUCAUUUCUCUUACAUUGAAUCCCCAAUCAUAAUUAAGCUGUAUACACAGAUUAAAUUAACAGAAGCAUUUCACAUAAAUGUUGGUUUCAGUCAUCAACUACCCAUGAAUUCCUGCCCAAGGAUACUUAAUCAGGAUUAAAUUUUCUAUGAAUAAUUGGAAAACAAAAUACUCACUGGAUUUGUUAUAAUCCGUGUUGGCACUGGAUUCUAAGUGGUUGCCAUCUUGAAUCCUUUGUAAUAAAGCCAUAUUUUUUGCGAAUGAUGCCCUGGUAUUGAGUAUUCAAAUACUCUAUCAAGUGCCUGUUAAAAAAAUUGCUACAUUGUUGUUGGUACUUGCAGUCUAAAAUGACUAUUCCCAUUAAGAGUCACUGAUCACAGAUUAUUCUGUCUUGCAAGUCCUUCAGGCCUUUUCAUUUUUACCUCUGGCUUA
rnacentral:lncRNA from 1 species